UGCGUUUCUCUUUGUGAAGUCACAAAAAGAGGAGAUCAGCAAAGAAAGCAAGAGAAACCAAUGCAGAAAUGUCAUCAGUGAAGCCCAGAGUUAGUAAAGCCUAAGGAAGACCAGCAGAUCCUUGCAUGGCUCCACCCAGCAAAUGACUGAAACAGAGGCAGAGACCCACAAUCACAUAUUGGACGGAGGUCAGGGACUCUAAUGGACAAUUUAGAGGAGGGAAUGAAGACCCAGGAAAGGUUGAAACUCCACAA
rnacentral:sRNA from 1 species